ensembl:lncRNA
CUAGUUUGUUGGUGGCGCCUCUGCCGUGCGGCACCGGGAGCGCGUUUCGGGCUCCGGCGAACCCGCCGAGGGACGCGGCUGCGGUGGUGGCGACGGCUGGGACCACGGAACUCGAGUAAGCGACCAGGGGGUGUCUUAACGCGGCGAGGGGCAGCGCCCCGAACGACUCUGCCUGUUUCUCCCCCCCGCUGGCUGUGGCCUUCACUGUUCCAGAGUGGCCUUGACCCUGCCUGCCACAGUGAGAAACUCAGCCACCCUGGGCCAGCUCUCCCAAUGGCCAGAAACCGAUGGCACCAGCGCUGGGCAGCAGCAGCCUCCGGGGCUCUUCUGAGCUUCAGGCAAGAAGAACAGAGGGUCUCCAGUGUCCUGUGUGCCCCAGGCCCUCGUAAGCUGCGAGUGGCUUGUGUGGGGAGAGCAGCUUCUAAAGGGGUCCAGGCCUCAGAGGACAACUCUGUCAUCAAGUUAUAGACCAGAGCUGGCCAGGGCAGCAGCUCUAUGGCUUGUGGUCCUUCUGCACUGGUGCAGCCUCUGAUUCCAGGGCUGCCCUAUGGGAGAUUGUGACGUUGUUCCCCACACGAUGUUCUAAGUCUCAGGGAAACACAGUUCACUCAACUGAGAGCAAAUGGUCACCAAGGAUACAUAUAAGUACUUAUACUUAUCCCUGAGGAUACAUUUUAUCAGGGGAAGAACCUCCAUAGGGUGACCUCAGUGCCACCUACCAGGCUUCAUUGGCAAACACACCCAGGCCCCCAGACCAAGGGGAGACCUGCUGUAUCCCUUGCCCCCAUACCAGCCACUGAGACUGUGACCUCAGGUGUGGGCCAGAUUCUCCUUGUGCCCCAUCCAACAGUGUCCUGGCGUCACUCAGCAGGACUCUAGGCUCUGGGGAGCUAACAGGGCCACCCUGUCCCCUCCCCCUUCUCAGAGCCCACAGUAAGAGGCAACAAGGGCCCCUACUAACAGGGGAGCACUGGAGGCCCCUUCCCAGCAUUGGUAGUGUAGCUGGUAGUGAGCAGGUAGUGGCCUUGCCCUCCAAGAUUAGGAGCAGCUGUAAGCUGGGGACAGUAGAGGGACCCCAGGGCACCCACUGUAGACCCUGGAGCCAGAUUUGUCUCAGUGAAUGACAGGGUUCUAGCCAGUGACCACUGUCCUGGCAUUUUGGUCUUUACCUGGUAAUCAACACUGGAUCCUGCCUGCCUGUGUGUUCCCCAAGCUCAAAAAGAAGGAAUGGUCCAGGAAAAGUAAUUACCAUUUGUCACCUUGCAAGCUUGGGGGAUCCCUUAUCUGUGUCUCCAGAAUGCAGGUUGUACAAAAGUCAACAUCUGCUGGAGCCAUCCUGAGGUCAGGGACUCCAGGCUCAUCCCUGGCUCACCCACAGAGAGAGGGGCUCUUGGUGGGCAACUGGGCAAGGCAUCCAACCUGUGACUUCCCAGGCCCAGCUGGCCCAAGGUCAGGCUCCAGAGUGGGUUACGUUGUCAUAGGGAUUUGAAGUCACAGUACAGACUGGUUACUUCAAAGCCCUGAAUGCCCUGAUGCCCCUGCCUGGCAUUGGUCCUGUGGGCAUCUCUUGGUGGGGGGGUUUAAGGGCUGAGUUUGAUCCCAGUGUGUCCCCGGGAAAGAAAGCUGAAAGCUCAGUUUCUUCCUGGCAUUCCUCCCACCCCACCUUGGGAUGCUCGCUGCCCUGCUGGACUCUUCGGAGGCUUCUGGAGAGGCUGCUGGGGGAGCUUAGUUGAGAUUAAGCACACUUGUCACAGCACAAAGGACCUGCCGUGGUGCUUUCUCUGAAAGCUGUGUUGCUUUUAUGAAUUUCCAACUUAAUAAAAAGUUGAG